CAGCCGCCGCGGGAAUACGUAGGUGGCAAGCGUUGUCCGGAACUAUUGGGCGUAAAGGGCUCGCAGGCGGUUUCUUAAGUCUGAUGUGAAAGCCCCCGGUUCAACCGGGGAGGGUCAUUGGAAACUGGGAAACUUGAGUGCAGAAGAGGAGAGUGGAAUUCCACGUGUAGCGGUGAAAUGCGUAGAGAUGUGGAGGAACACCAGUGGCGAAGGCGACUCUCUGGUCCGUAACUGACGCUGAGGAGCGAAAGCGUGGGGAGCGAACAGGAUUAGAUACCCCCGUAGUCCCUGUCUCUUAUAC
rnacentral:rRNA from 1 species